rnacentral:rRNA from 1 species
UACGAAGGGUGCAAGCGUUAUUCGGAAUUACUGGGCGUAAAGCGUGCGUAGGUGGUCUUUUAAGUCCGUUGUGAAAGCCCUGGGCUCAACCUGGGAAUGGCAGUGGAUACUGGAAGGCUGGAGUACGGUAGAGGAGGGUGGAAUUCCCGGUGUAGCGGUGAAAUGCGUAGAGAUCGGGAGGAACACCCGUGGCGAAGGCGGCCAUCUGGACCAGCACUGACGCUGAGGCACGAAAGCGUGGGGAGCAAACAGG